rnacentral:rRNA from 1 species
UACGGAGGGUGCAAGCGUUAUCCGGAUUUACUGGGUUUAAAGGGUGCGUAGGCGGACUUGUAAGUCAGGGGUGAAAUCCCGGGGCUCAACCCCGGAACUGCCUUUGAUACUAUAGGUCUUGAAUAUUGUUGAGGUGGGCGGAACGGGUCAUGUAGCGGUGAAAUGCAUAGAUAUGACCCGGGACACCGAUUGCGAAGGCAGCCCGCUAAGCAAUGAUUGACGCUGAGGCACGAAAGCGUGGGGAUCAAACAGG